CAAGUACUCCCUCCAUCCGAAAAUACUUGUCAUCAAAAUGGAUAAAAAAAUAUGUAUCUAGAACUUAUAUACAUUUAGAUACAUCCUUUUUUAUUCAUUUUGAUGACAAGUUUUUCCGGAUGGAGGGAAUACUAU
rfam:Triticum aestivum genome assembly, contig: Triticum_aestivum_CS42_TGACv1_scaffold_374332_5AL